UGUGUAGGCGGUUCUUUAAGUUUGGUGUGAAAUCUCCCGGCUCAACUGGGAGGGAGCGCCGAAUACUGAGGGACUAGAGUACGGGAGAGGAAAGUGGAAUUCCUGGUGUAGCAGUGAAAUGCGUAGAUAUCAGGAGGAACACCGGUGGUGUAGACGGCUUUCUGGACCGACACUGACGCUGAGACACGAAAGCGUGGGUAGCAAACAGGAUUAGAUACCCUGGUAGUCCACGCCCUAAACGAUGCAUAUUUGGUGUGGGCAGUUCAUUCUGUCCGUGCCGGAGCUAACGCGUUAAAUAUGCCGCCUGGGGAGUACAGUCGCAAGGCUGAA
rnacentral:rRNA from 1 species